rnacentral:rRNA from 1 species
GAUGAACGCUGGCGGCGUGCCUAAUACAUGCAAGUCGAGCGAACAGACGAGGAGCUUUCUCCUUUGACGUUAGCGGCGGACGGGUGAGUAACACGUGGGUAACCUACCUCUAAGACUGGGAUAACUUCGUGAAACCGGUGCUAAUACCGGAUAAUAUUUCGAACCGCAUGGUUCGAUAGUGAAAGAUGGCUUUGCUAUCACUUUUAGAUGGACCUGCGCCGUAUUAGCUAGUUGGUAAGGUAACGGCUUACCAAGGCAACGAUACGUAGCCGACCUGAGAGGGUGAUCGGCCACACUGGAACUGAGACACGGUCCAGACUCCUACGGGAGGCAGCAGUAGGGAAUCUUCCGCAAUGGGCGAAAGCCUGACGGAGCAACGCCGCGUGAGUGAUGAAGGUCUUCGGAUCGUAAAACUCUGUUAUUAGGGAAGAACAAAAGUGGAAGUAACUGUGCACGUCUUGACGGUACCUAAUCAGAAAGCCACGGCUAACUACGUG